UACGGGGGGGGCAAGCGUUGUUCGGAAUUACUGGGCGUAAAGGGCUCGUAGGCGGCCAACUAAGUCAGACGUGAAAUCCCUCGGCUUAACCGGGGAACUGCAUCUGAUACUGGAUGGCUUGAGAUUGGGAGAGGGAUGCGGAAUUCCAGGUGUAGCGGUGAAAUGCGUAGAUAUCGUUUGGAACGCCAAUGGUGAAAACAGGUCGCUGGGAGUGCGCUGACGCUGAGACACGAAAGCCAGGGGAGCGAACGGG
rnacentral:rRNA from 1 species